rnacentral:piRNA from 1 species
AGGGAUUUCUGAAAAACACUGUU